rnacentral:tRNA from 1 species
GGGGAGUUAGCUCAGCUGGUGGUAGCUUCGGACUGUUAAUCCGAUGGUCGUGGGUUCGAGUCCCACACUCCCCU